UUAAAUUUCAGCGCAGAUGAUCCUACAAAAGUAUCUUACACCAGAAUAAUAUCCAUAUCUAUUUAAAAACGUUAAUCGCUAAUAAUUAGUUGCUGCUAAACUAUUUUUAAACUAUUUGAAAUUUUCUAAGAUGAAUUAAAAUAUACACGCUUGAUGGAAGCUUAGAUAGAAUGAGGAAGACACAUUAAUAAUCUCUGGAUAUUCAAUACACGCAUCUUCUAAACGAUGCGAGUGCCACAAUUAUAUGGAUUUUACCUGGUACAGGCUAAUAUGAUAGAGGCAAGAACCAUUGCGAUUGUUUUCUUGUGCCUUUUCUACAAAUGUACCAAAUGAAUUAAUGUUAAGUUGGCAUGUUCAAUGUUAAAAAUGAUUGGAACAGUAGAUUUUGUAUUUAAACUGUUUGACUAAAACCACAUAGUUUCUGUUGGAUUCAUUAAAUUUUUUUAAUCAUUUGAGUGAAAUGGAAAGUCACAGAAAUCAUUAAAGGAGCAUAUUAGCCGUUUAAUGGGAACAAUUGCACAACGUCAUUCCACAUAAGAAGAGGGAAUGCCUUUACAGCUGUUGACAAGGAGUACGGAUAGCAGCUGUCCAGAUGGCCUGAAAGCAUUUUACUGUUUCACACAAAGUAAUAUCGGCUGGAUGACACUUAAUAGAUACCAGUUUGCAUGAUAAAGGUAUGCCACCAACCACCGUAUUUUCUCAGUUUCAUACACGUGCCAUCUGUCUAUAUCACUUUUGCUGGAAGCGAGGCAGUAUUCGCUUAAGGUACGUCCAUGUAUCCAAAGGCACAAUAUUGACAUACUUUCACCGAAAUGAUCGCAGUACAAUGGAUGGCAUCCGGAAUUUUUAGCAAGCGCAUAUUGGAACUCGGAGCCUUUAAAAUGAAAUAUUGCAUGAAGAUCCAACAGAUGCAGUUUGUAGAAUUAUAAAUAUUAGACCAAACCUAAAAUGCAUAUUUGGUACCAAAAUAUUGUCAAUGAUCUGCAUAGUUGAAAUGCGAGUGCAUAUGGGGUUAACAUUACUUGAGGACAUCAAUACAUCUCUAAAAUGUUUUAUUCUUCCAUUUUUAAGGUUUUGAAUAUUUAUAUAUUUUUGGAGAAUUGUUUCAACGAAUGCAGUAAUUCAUUUCGAACUUGGAAAAGGUUGAAGUGCAUGAAAUGUACAUCAUUCAAAGCCUGUUUGGCAUAUGAAUCAAUAUUUCUAAAGUUUUGGAAAUUGUUAAGCUUUUGGUUCAUUAUAUUUCCUUCAAAGUUGAUGUUUAUAUUCUACUCUUUUAGAAACAAGUAUUUUUUUAAAUAUUCUAGACAUGUGAAACAUUUUUAUGGAUAAAUUAAAAUUUGUAAGUGUGUUUGAUUUUUCUAAGUUAUCUAAAACCAAUUUCCAACAAGACCGAAAGAAGAAUUUUUCUCUCAGGAUGUAUAAAAUUGACUUGAAAAUUUCAUUUGUAACCAUACUCUUAUUAAAAGUUGGUAAGUUAAACUUUUUUUUACUGACCCAGCAAUAUAGCCAGGGAUCGCAGCAACUGUCACAUAAUUGUAAUUACUUGAAAUAAAAAAAAUACGUAACUACUUAAUUUGCAUUUGACAUUUCUCCGUCAUUGUCAACGGAGAAUGUAUCUUCAUGAUUGGAUGAUUUAUUAAGAUUAUUUUUCAUCGAUUGCCUUAUUAUGAUUCUAAAAAUUUAAUGUUUUUGUUAUUGUCAAUUGAUUAGAUGUUAUUCCUUCUCAUCAGCAUUAUUGUUUGCAGAUAGUUUUAAAUUUAUUGACAGAUUUUACAAAAUAUUCUUCGUUUUCAUU